rnacentral:rRNA from 1 species
AACGUAGGUUCCGAGCGUUAUCCGGAUUUACUGGGCGUAAAGCGCGUUCAGGCGGUUUGGCAAGUCGGGCAUGAAAUCUCUCGGCUCAACCGGGAGAGGUUGUCCGAUACUUCCAGACUUGAGGGCAGUAGAGGGUGGUGGAAUUCCGGGUGUAGUGGUGAAAUGCGUAGAUAUCCGGAGGAACACCAGUGGCGAAAGCGGCCACCUGGACUGCACCUGACGCUGACACGCGAAAGCAUGGGGAGCAAACAGG